UAGCGAUCUAAGCGGCCCGGUUUCCGACCACUGCAUUUCUUCCUUCUCUCUUUGUUAAAAAAAGUUCCGACCAGAAGGUCGGAACUCGAAAUGAGAAGUUUGUAAAAACUUUUGCCCCCAUAAAAAGUGCCCUAAAACUUCCUUGCUGAAAAAAAGUGCCCCAAACCAGAGCUCUCUUUGCACUCAGCCGCUCAACCAGAGCCCUCAACUAGAGCCCUCUCUUCACACUCAGCCGCUCGCUAGGGUUUACGGAAGACGACGGAUCUCUUCCUUGAGCUCUGAUCCUUGUUAUUGAGCUCUGAUUCUUGCUAUUGAGCUCUAAUCCUGGCUAGGUUUCCUUAGCUCUGAUCUCUUAUCGAUUAGAAAGAUUGAAAGAACUACAUUUUGUGAUUGAAGUUUUGUCUUCCUAGAACAAUGUGAUAAUGAAAGGCCACUUAGGAGGUCAUGGUAUUGAAAAAGGGGUCAACAUUAUUACUCAAGGUAAGGAGGUCUUCUGUCUUUGUUCUUCUCAAUAUGAAUGGAAGGAGUGGGGAUAGCAAAGAAUCGAAAGGAAGUAUGGCGGUUCCUAAAAAGAGUUUGAAGUUUUUAGAAGAUUGAAACAUGAAGAGGAUGUAAAUGUGGCUUUAGAGCAUUGCUAAGUUAAUAACCAAUUCAAAAGGGUUCAAGCACACCUCUCUCACAUAUCAACUGAUGAUAAAGAAGCUCGAAUUUGCAAAGGAUAUGGAUGGGGUGCAAUAUCGUUUACAACAAAUGAAAUUAUAGGGGGAUCUGUGCUCUGAAGAUAUGUGCAUUGGUGUGAUCAAAGCUUAUGGGCGCCUUGGAAUGGGAGAGCAAGCCUUGAAAACAUUCUACCGAAUGCAAGAUUUCCAUUGCAAACCCACGACUAAAUUAUACAACCAUCUUUUAGAUGCAUUGCUUAAUGAGAGCAGGUUCCAAAUGAUCAACCCAAUUUACCGUAACAUGAAGAAAGAUGGAGUAGAGCCUAAUGUAUACACCUAUAACAUUCUACGCAUUGUGCAAAAACAAUCGAACUGAUGCAGCUCACAAGUUACUCACUGAAAUUUCAAAGAAAAGAUGUUCUCCAGAUGUUGUGAGUUAUACUACUGUAGUGUCUGCCCUUUUUCGACAAGGGAAAUUCCAAAAGGCAAAGGACCUUGCAAACAGUUUUACUCCCUCUAUACCCAUUUACAAUGUGUCGAUAAACUCAUUGUGCAAGGAAUUGACUAUAGAAGAAGCCAUUCUUUAAAUAAAUGAGAUGGGAAAUCACUGUUUAAGCCCAAAUAUUAUUACUUACACUACAAUCAUUGAUACUCUUUGUGAGAUGGGGAAAGUGACGUUCACUUGCCUUCUUUGCUCAAAUGUUUGAAAUAGCACAAUAUGUAUUUUUCUUGCGAAGUAUAUUUGUGUUAAUGUGGCCUUGUGUUGAAAGAAUCCAACAGGGUGAAUGACUUUAUUGAUUA